UGUACAAGCAGUGAGUGGAGAUGCAGCACUGUGAUUACUUCGACUACUGGGGUCGUGGGACUAAAGUCACAGUAUCUACAGGAACACCCACACCACCAACACCACCCACUCUGUUCCCUUUGGUUCAGUGCCAACCUGGGUCUGGAGAUAAAAUCACUGUUGGUUGUUUUGCACGUGACUUCUACCCAAAGAGUCUUACAUUCCAGUGGACCGAUGCCAGUGGGAGAACCCUGACUUCUGAAAAUUAUCCUCCAGCAGAGAAAAACAACAAAUAUACAGGAGUCAGUUUGGUCAAAGUAUCAAAAUCUGACUGGGAUUCAAGGAAGUCUUUUAAAUGUUCUGUAAAUCACAACGGAUCUCCCAAAAAUCUGCUAGUGCAAAAGCCUAUUCCUCCAAAAGUGACUUUGCUAUCAGUGCCAAGUGAAGGCACCCAGGCCCUGGUGUGCACGCUUGAGGGCGGUAAUGGAAAACUUGAUUCAUUCAAGUGGAAAAAGAAUACCGCAGAGUUGAACAACUACAUUCAAAGUCCCAUCCAAAGAACUGGAGACUUAUAUUCAGCUGUCAGUGUCCUGAAGGUCAACAACGCAGACUGGGACAGUAACGCUGUGUAUACCUGUGAGGUGACUUACAGAGGAACACAAUAUAAAAAGAAGGCCUCAAAAGGUUCUUCCACAGUGACACUGAACCAACCCAGUGCCAAAGGAAUUUUUAACAACAAACAGGCAGAGUUGGAGUGUAUCAUUACUGGACAGGACAAGACCUUUUUAAAUACAAUUCAAAUCACUUGGCAAAUUGAUGGACUAGAUGUGACAAGCAACAUUAAUGAAUCACCUGUCAAGUCUGUAGGCAUUCAGCACAGCAAAACCAGCACGAUGACUCGUAGUCUGUCUGAGUGGCAGAGAGUCAACAAAGUGCGCUGUUCUGCCAUUAGAGACGAUAUGACUCCAGUUAUUCAGGAUCUGACUGUCCACAAAGGAGAUGGGAGUGAGCCAAACGUGACAGUCCAUGUCCUCCCAGAGGAGGACAUCAGCAAAGGAGCUGAGGUCUCUCUGGUGUGUCUGGUCUCUGGUCCUGUGCUGCAGGAUUACUACAUCGCCUGGUCAGAGGGCACUGAAAAUAAGGCCGGCAUCUAUAUGGAUGGCAUCAACUUCCCCCCACAGAAGACCCAACAAGGCUACUUAGUUACAAGUAUUUACACCACCACCAAGGAAAAGUGGGACAAGCACAACAUGUUCUACUGCAACGUUUGGCCUGCUGGUAGAAGUGUGUCUGUGAAACCCAAAGGAGUGUCUAAGGCCCAGGCUCCUGUCACAGUGACACUGAACCAACCCAGUGCCAAAGGAAUUUUUAACAACAAACAGGCAGAGUUGGAGUGUAUCAUUACUGGACAGGACAAGACCUUUUUAAAUACAAUUCAAAUCACUUGGCAAAUUGAUGGACUAGAUGUGACCAACGACAUUAAUGAAUCAACUGUCAAGUCUGUAGGCGUUCAGCACAGCAAAACCAGCACGAUGACUCGUAGUCUGUCUGAGUGGCAGAGAGUCAACAAAGUGCGCUGUUCUGCCAUUAAAGACGAUAUGACUCCAGUUAUUCAGGAUCUGACUGUCCACAAAGGAGAUGGGAGUGAGCCAAAAGUGACAGUCUAUGCCCUCCCAGAGGAGGACAUCAGCAAAGGAGCUGUGGUCUCUCUGGUGUGUCUGGUCUCUGGUCCUGUGCUGCAGGAUUACUACAUCGCCUGGUCAGAAGGUUCUGGAAAUAAGGCCGGCAUCUAUAUGGAUGGCAUUAACUUCCCCCCACAGAAGACCCAACAUGGCUACUUAGUUACAAGUAUUUACACCACCACCAAGGAAAAGUGGGACAAGCACAGCAUGUUCUACUGCAACGUCUGGCCUGCUGGUAGAAGUGUGUCUGUGAAACCCAAAGGAGUGUCUAAGGCCCAGGCUCCUGUCACAGUGACACUGAACCAACCCAGUGCCAAAGAAAUUUUCAGCAACAACAAAAUAAAGUUGGAGUGUAUCAUUACUGGACAGGACGAGACCAUUGUAAAUGAAAUUCAAGUCACUUGGCAAAUUGAUGGACAAAAUGUGACCAGCAACAUUGCUGAAUCAAUAUUGUCCAGCGGCGUUCAGCACAGCAAAACCAGCACGAUGACUCGUAGUCUGUCUGAGUGGCAGAGAGUCAACAAAGUGCGCUGUUCUGCCAUUAAAGACGAUAUGACUCCAGUUAUUCAGGAUCUGACUGUCCACAAAGGAGAUGGGAGUGAGCCAAACGUGACAGUCCAUGCCCUCCCAGAGGAGGACAUCAGCAAAGGAGCUGUGGUCUCUCUGGUGUGUCUGGUCUCUGGUCCUGUGCUGCAGGAUUACUACAUCGCCUGGUCAGAGGGCACUGAAAAUAAAACUAGCAACUAUAAGGAUGGCAUUAACUUCCCCCCACAGAAGACCCAACAAGGCUACUUAGUUACAAGUGUUUACACCACCACCAAGGAAAAGUGGGGCAACCACAGCAUGUUCAACUGCAACGUCUGGCCUGCUGGUAGAAAUAAGGCCAUGGAACCCAAAGCAGUGUCUAAGGACCAUGAUUCUCCUUCAGAGUCAAAACAGAGUUGGGGUCUGAGCUGCAUAGAGGAUGCCAUUGAAGAGGAUGAGUUCAGCAGUCUGUGGUCCACAACCUCCUCCUUCAUAUUCCUCUUCAUAUCCUCUCUCUUCUAUAGCAUGAUAUUCAGCCUGGUCAAGAUGAAGACAAGAUAAAGGAUGAGAUGGAGGCUCAGCAUAGACGACUAGAGGUCUUCAUUUGUAAUUUGUCUUUUUUAUCUAGUUUUAAAAACUUGUACAUUAUUGAUAAUCUCUUGUACAGUUGCUAAAUGAAGUAGACAUCAUAUAUAAUAAUAGCCUAUAUAUUAAAAAUAGUUCUCUGUAGAAAAAUAAAAAAUACAACUGCAAUUCUUUGUUUAUGUGAAUAAAUUUGGU